GACGAACGCUGGCGGCGUGCCUAAUACAUGCAAGUCGAGCGGACGAAUCGAAAGCUUGCUUUUGAUUCGUUAGCGGCGGACGGGUGAGUAACACGUGGGCAACCCGCCCUGUAGACGGGGAUAACACCGAGAAAUCGGUGCUAAUACCGGAUAACACGAAAUGUCGCAUGACGUUUCGUUGAAAGACGGCGCAAGCUGCCGCUACAGGAUGGGCCCGCGGCGCAUUAGCUAGUUGGUGAGGUAACGGCUCACCAAGGCGACGAUACGUAGCCGACCUGAGAGGGUGAUCGGCCACACUGGGACUGAGACACGGCCCAGACUCCUACGGGAGGCAGCAGUAGGGAAUCUUCCGCAAUGGACGAAAGUCUGACGGAGCAACGCCGCGUGAGCGAAGAAGGCCUUCGGGUCGUAAAGCUCUGUUGUUAGGGAAGAACAAGUAACGCAGUAACUGGCGUUACCGUGACGGUACCUAACGAGAAAGCCACGGCUAACUACGUG
rnacentral:rRNA from 1 species